rnacentral:misc_RNA from 1 species
AAAGUCGUAACAAGGUCUCCGUUGGUGAACCAGCGGAGGGAUCAUUACCGAGUUUCUACUCUAAACCCUGCGAACCUACCUCUACGUGCUUCGGCGGCCGGCCCCGGGGGGCGCCUAACGGCCGCCGAAAGUACCCAAAAAUCACUUUUCAGAGUCUUCUGAGUGACAAAAAAAAACAAGUCAAAACCUUCAACAACGGAUCUCUUGGUUCUG